CUGGGAGCUGAGCUGAGUCAUCAACCAAUUGGCCUCUUGCAUCUUCCUUUUUUUCCUCUGCACGGACUGCGAAGACAAGAAAGUGCGGAAGGGCAAAGAUCUCUGGGGAGCUGAUGAUAACAAGUGAGGAGCUGCUAAUGGGGUUAAAGGAGGCAGAACGUCCAGAAUCUUCAAGGUACCUUAAUGCUGGCAGAAAUACUUCUGAAGCAUCACCACUGAUGGAACAAGUAGAAAUUCAGCUGGCCAUUUUUAUGUCCUUAUCUAUUUGUUCGGUAAUUUUUAUCACACUCAGCAUUUAUUCCUCCUAUAUCUCUAGAGACAGGGGUCAGCAAGACUGGCAACUCAGUUCCACAACUACUGUUCUUAACCCCCCUUUAUUUUUUUGGCAAGUUUGUAUACAUUCCUUCCCCUUGCACUCCAGAACUUUUCAUGAGACAUCAGUAGACUGGAUAGCUAAAUCCUUUAGGCCCUAGGGUACACAGCUACCUGGUCCAGGUGAUGCUGAGCCACCAUGUGAUCCACUGUGCAGUCUCUAUGCUUGUUCAUAUGUUGUUGUGCAGACUCCAGGAGUGCCCUGCCCCACCCCAUCAAAUGCAAGGCGCCAUUUGAUUAGCAAUGCCCAUCAAUUUUGGGGUGGCUGAAGGGACCUGGGCUUCUAGGAGUUGGCGCCUAUGCUGAGAAAGUUGAUCUUUUUUGAAUUUUGAUACAAACCAACCUGAUCCACACUUCUUGAAUGAAUCUGCAGUUUAGAACCGUUCGUCUUUUUGAUUUUGUACAUCUCAGAAUUUUAUGAGGCAGUUCAAGCUAAAAAAAGUAUCAAUUGCUUUUAGCAAUGAGUACUUUGGGGUAAAUUAUAUUUAGAAAUUAAUUAUCCUAUGAGAAAAUAUGUUCAAAGGUAUGUAUUUAAAUGCAGCUUUUCAUGGUUGGUUUUUUUUAAAAAAAAAAAUAUUAUUGGAGAUUAAUGUAAAAAUGAGAAGUUAACUGAAGAAAUGUGAAAGUGGUAUGGCCUGGGAAAAUUGAUCUGUCUAUCCCCACUAGACUCCAAUUCUACCCCUUGCUUGUAAAAAGCUCAAUUCUAAACAAUUGAUAUUCAGCUGUUUUAGUCUUUAGUGACUUCACCAUCUUAUUCAAAACACUCUCCUGGUACUUAGUCUCCUCUGCAGAUUCUGAGCCUUUUUGAUAGGCAAGAUUAAUGCUCCCCUUUGCUCAGCUAGCCUCAGUAGGUGGGGGAAAUGGCCUUUGUUUCAGAUGCCUUUCAAGUUUCUCUUGCCAUCUGACAUUCCAGCAGAUUGUCGAACUUCUUCCCCCUGUGCUGUUCUCCUCCAUCUCCUAAUUUCUCUUCAUUUACUCUGGAAAUCAACUGAUACAGAUUUCUGAAUUCCGAUUUCAACGCAGCUCCCUUUUAGUUAGGAGACCUGGGUACAUUUUCUUAUACUCUUCCCCGCCCCCCCCCCGGUCACAAUCCCUGGGAGAUAGGAAGCAGUCAUAUACUAGGUGAGGUUACUGGUCCAUCAAGCCCAGUAUUGUCUGACUGGCAGUAACUCUCCAGCAUCUCAGGCAGAGAAGAGUCUUUCUUAUCACCUGGUACCCAACCUGCUUAACCAGAGAUUCCAGGAACCUUCUGCAUAAAAAGCAGAUGCUCUAACCCUGAGCUUUCAUCAGGACCAGUUUUGACCAUUGCCACAAACACUAGGGAACAUCUUGAAGUUGUUGCAGUCUCAUGGUAUGCCCUUGUACCAGAUCAGGCCGUCUUGUCGAAAGCUAUUCCCGAGACAGUGAAAUUUACCGGGUAGUGGAAAUUCAUAAGGCACAAGAAAAGGUUGCAGCGUUGGGGGGGGGGGUUGUUUAUAGAAAAGACAAGUAAGAGGCGACAUGAUGAUGUUUAUAAAGUUAUUCAUGGCAUGGAGAAAGUUGACAGAGCCUUUUUCUCUCUCUCUCCUCUCAUAGCACUAGAACUCAUGGGCAUACAACUGAAUGUUGGAAGAUUCAGUACGAGUACAUCUUCAUGUAGUGCUUAGCUGUGCUAUGGAACUUGCCCAGGAGACAGUGAUGACCGCCAACUUGGAUGCCUUUAAAAGAUGAUUAGCAAAUCCAUGGCGGAGGCGGCUAUCAAUGGCUAACAGCAACAAUGGCUUUCCUCCACCACUGAAGUUGGGGAGCUGCAAUGCUUCUGAAUACAGUGGUACCUCAGGUUAAGUAUGUAAUUCAUUUCGGAGGUCCGUGAGAACAGAACUCGUGAUCCAGUGGCG